GUUUUGGAUAAAAUGAUGUGGAUCCCUCGCUGCAGCUGCAUGUUGUCGAGAGACCGGGGCAGGGAGGUCCUCCCUCACAGCAUCAGAGCAGUUGGUGACAGUCAUCAGAAAUAUGCAGUCCCCUUCUGAGCGUCUCAUGGUGGAACUCCUCUCUCAGGCUUGUUUGACAUCUUGGAAUUUCUCAGUGCCAUGUGUGAGAGAGGACUGCAUUUGAACCAACGUCUGAGCUUAUGGAAAAGAUGGGAAGAGUGUCACUGUGGUAACUCCUGUGGAGUAGAGGAUGGAGACAUGCAGAAAGUGAAGCUCUUACCACAUACAGCUGAGGCUCAGCAACUUCGCUACUAGGCAGUAGCUUCUGACCUGAGCAGCACAGCAUGAAGAGAAUAAACAACACUCAAAAAAUGGAAGGAUCAACCUGUCAGUGUGCUAUGGCUGGGUGCACCAACAAAUCACAACAUGCUCUUCAGUGGCUGUGACAGGAUCUCUUCUACUGACUGACACCUAGAUUCCUUGGGAAAGAAAAAUGCUCCAGUAAGAGCAGUACUGUUUGAAGUGCAUGGUGACUUAAAAUCCACUCCUACCAGAGGAGCUUGAGGCAGAGAGACAAGAAAGAGGAGAGAUGGAAGAGGCAGCGAUGCUCUUUUUAUUCUCCCCUCCCUGUCACUGCAAGAUCCAGCUCCAGGGAUCAUGUUAUCACAUGAGAAUUCAACGCCCAACGCACAACUGUACAGAAGAAGUUAUGUUCCAUUUCCUACAUCUAUUAUAUAUUAAACUGCAGUGCACAGAAAACUUCAGCUGAUGUGAUUAAGCAAAGGAAACAGCACAGAACAUUUAUCUAGCAGAUUUUAGUCUUCUCCCUGGCUGUGACAGUAAACAUGUGAUUUGAUGGUCUGGAGCUCAGGAAGUAGGUGCUUCAGCCUUCAUAAGAUCUUCAGCUUCAUUCUGUGGAAGUUCAGGCUGUACUUUAGGUGUACUUUAAAGUUCUGUCUUUAGAUUCUGUCUGCAGCCAUUACAGAGAGUUCUGUAAGAACUCAGGUUUGAUCAUUCAGCUCAGAACAGGAUCUGUCCAGACUCAUGGAUUCCAAGAGACAGAUCUUGGCUCAGAAAGAUAGGGGAGAUGAAAGUGCAACAUGACAAACAGUGAUGCUCUUGAGAAGGUAAAUGAAGAGCCUUUGUAUUUUAUGGUGUCAUGAAAAAAGAGUAGCAGCGAAUACCAAGAAACUGAACACCUGUCAGCCUCUGCUGACAGCAAGCUCCUGGGCCAUGCAGUGUUUGGAUAUCAUCAGUUUGGCAAUUUCUAUGUUAGACACAACCAAGCUCAAGAAUUCUUAACGCUUCUUAUCUUCAGCUAAUCGCCAUAGAUCAUGGAACUUAAAAGCCUCACAAAGACACAUGUCUGAAGUCUGAUUUUAAGGAUCUGCAAGUGUUCCCGGCAGAACUGUUGCCUCCAUGUGAGAAAUGAUCCCAUGACUGAACCUGUUCCACCUGCUUUGUCCCGAGGAGGGAGACGGGAGUCUCCUCUGAAAUAUGAGACGUCUGGAAGAAGAAAAGGGCAAGGAAAAAACAGGGUGGGAAACCAUCAUUCGCACAGAAUGUGAAAGGUGAAGAGCUGAGGGGAGAGCAAUAGUCUGGAACUGUAAAAGAAAAUAAAAAUGAAAAGAAAUGCAUAUGGAAGACAGCAGGAAGAUGGGAGAGGAGCAAUAAUGAGAAGGUAGAAGGGGAAGAAUGUUAUCUUCGCAGUUAUGCAGCUUUAGUUGCACAGAGUGGCCGUGAGGAAGGAGUUAAUUUACAGGAA